rnacentral:rRNA from 1 species
AUACGUAGGUGGCGAGCGUUGUCCGGAAUUACUGGGCGUAAAGGGCGCGUAAGCGGCCAAUUAAGUCAGAUGUGAAAACCCCAGGCUUAACUUGGGGAGUGCAUUUGAAACUGGAUGGCUAGAGUGUCGGAGAGGGAAGCGGAAUUCCUAGUGUAGCGGUGAAAUGCGUAGAUAUUAGGAGGAACACCAGUGGCGAAGGCGGCUUUCUGGACGAUAACUGACGCUGAGGCGCGAAAGCGUGGGGAGCAAACAGGAUUAGAUACCCUGGUAGUCCACGCUGUAAACGAUGGAUACUAGGUGUGGGAGGUAUCGACCCCUUCCGUGCCGCAGUAAACGCAAUAAGUAUUCCGCCUGGGGAGUACGGUCGCAAGAUUAAA